rnacentral:rRNA from 1 species
CUACGGGUCGCAGCAGUGAGGAAUAUUGCACAAUGGAGGAAACUCUGAUGCAGCAACGCCGCGUGGAGGAUGACGCAUUUCGGUGUGUAAACUCCUUUUAUAUGUCAAGAAAAUGACGGUAGCAUAUGAAUAAGCUCCGGCUAACUCCGUGCCAGCAGCCGCGGUAAUACGGAGGGAGCAAGCGUUACUCGGAAUCACUGGGCGUAAAGGACGCGUAGGCGGGAUAGAAAGUCAGGUGUGAAAUCCUAUGGCUCAACCAUAGAACUGCACUUGAAACUUCUAACCUAGAGUAUGGGAGGGGAAGAUGGAAUUAGUGGUGUAGGGGUAAAAUCCGUAGAUAUCACUAGGAAUACCAAAAGCGAAGGCGAUCUUCUGGAACAAUACUGACGCUAAGGCGUGAAAGCGUGGGGAGCAAACAGGAUUAGAUACCCCUGUAGUC